CCUACGGGAGGCAGCAGUGAGGAAUAUUGGUCAAUGGACGAGAGUCUGAACCAGCCAAGUCGCGUGAAGGAUGACUGUCCUAUGGGUUGUAAACUUCUUUUGUAUGGGAAUAAAAUGUUCCUCGCGUGGGUUUUUGUAUGUACCAUAUGAAUAAGGAUCGGCUAACUCCGUGCCAGCAGCCGCGGUAAUACGGAGGUUCCGAGCGUUAUCCGGAUUUAUUGGGUUUAAAGGGAGCGUAGGUGGAUUGUUAAGUCAGUUGUGAAAGUUUGAGGCUCAACCGUAAAAUUGCAGUUGAAACUGGGAGUCUUGAGUACAGUAGAGGUGGGCGGAAUUCGUGGUGGAGCGGUGGAAUGCUUAGAUAUCACGAAGAACUCCGAUUGCGAAGGCAGCUCACUGGACUGCAACUGACACUGAGGCUCGAAAGUGUGGGGAUCAAACAGGAUUAGAUACCCUUGUAGUC
rnacentral:rRNA from 1 species